CGAGCCCAACCUCCCACCCGUGUUUACUGUACCUUAGUUGCUUCGGCGGGCCCGCCAUUCAUGGCCGCCGGGGGCUCUCAGCCCCGGGCCCGCGCCCGCCGGAGACACCACGAACUCUGUCUGAUCUAGUGAAGUCUGAGUUGAUUGUAUCGCAAUCAGUUAAAACUUUCAACAAUGGAUCUCUUGGUUCCGGCAUCGAUGAAGAACGCAGCGAAAUGCGAUAACUAGUGUGAAUUGCAGAAUUCCGUGAAUCAUCGAGUCUUUGAACGCACAUUGCGCCCCCUGGUAUUCCGGGGGGCAUGCCUGUCCGAGCGUCAUUGCUGCCCAUCAAGCACGGCUUGUGUGUUGGGUCGUCGUCCCCUCUCCGGGGGGGACGGGCCCCAAAGGCAGCGGCGGCACCGCGUCCGAUCCUCGAGCGUAUGGGGCUUUGUCACCCGCUCUGUAGGCCCGGCCGGCGCUUGCCGAACGCAAAUCAAUCUUUUCCAGGUUGACCUCGGAUCAGGUAGGGAUACCCGCUGAACUUAAGCAUAUCAAUA
rnacentral:rRNA from 1 species